GUCCACGCCGUAAACGAUGGGUGCUAGGUGUGGGGAGUGUCGACUCUCUCUGUGCCGAAGCUAACGCAUUAAGCACCCCGCCUGGGGAGUACGGCCGCAAGGCUAAAACUCAAAGGAAUUGACGGGGGCCCGCACAAGCAGCGGAGCAUGUUGUUUAAUUCGACGCAACGCGAAGAACCUUACCAGGGCUUGACAUGCACGGGAAUGUCGUAGAGAUACGGCAGCCCUUCGGGGCUCGUGCACAGGUGUUGCAUGGCCGUCGU
rnacentral:rRNA from 1 species